GCUUGUAUAGUUUAAAAAAAUCGUAAGGCUGUUAACUUUAAGAUGCUUAUUAAUUCGGCUACAGGCG
rnacentral:tRNA from 1 species